rnacentral:misc_RNA from 1 species
GGACUAUGGAGGGGUAGAGAGGGGGAAGAGAAAAACCCUUUUAUUCUUUUUAUUGAAAGAAGGGGUGGUGUAGGUUUUUUGUGGAGCUGUUUGCUUCGUUUUUGCUUGGAAAAAUAAAGGGAAUUUUUGAGGCUGUUGUGUUUCUUUAUAGAGUGCAACUAAAGCCUUGUUGUGUUGUGUGGUUCUCUUUUCAAGUUGGUUUUGCAGGAAGAGAGAGAUCCUUUCUUGGUGCUGCUGGUACUCAUUCAUCUCUCUCUCUAGCCCUAGGAUACAGGGAGAUAGCAUUUGUGGUUCAGAAGCUGAGUUGUUGGGCUUUGGAUUGAUGAGAAAGUUGGGUUCCUUUUGCUUGUCUAUGGAAAUGAGGUUUUGAUUGAUGAUGGUAGCAGUAGAAAUGAGAGAGUGUGGUAGAAGCUGGAGAUUCAUUCCAUUUCAUGGAUGCCUUUGUUCUGGCCUUCAUGCAGCUCUAGGGGGAUAACCAUGGAGGAAUUUUCUGGGUCUGCUUGGCAGAAGUCUGAUAAUUCCAGGGGAUUAAAUACCUCCAGAGUCUCAGAUUGGAAUCGAAGACCUGCAACGCGAUAUUCUGUGUUUAGAAAGGAGACUGAUAGGGUUGUGCUGGCGCGCCAUAACCCCAAAAACCAGGUUAGUUUUUUUGGGGUUUACAAGGAUGAAGCUGCAGUUGACCCUUUUGCCCGAACUUUAGAAUGGGGUGAUGUUAGCUUGAGGCAGUGGUUGGACAAACCUGAAAGAUCCAUUGAUGAAUUUGAAUGUUUACAUAUAUUUAGGCAAAUAGUUGAGAUUGUAAAUGUGGCACAUUCUCAAGGAAUUGUUGUUCAUAAUGUCCGGCCUUCUUGCUUCCUAAUGACAUCAUUUAAUCAUGUGUCUUUCAUUGAGUCUGCUUCUUGUUCCGAUUCUGGGUCGGAUUCUUUAGAAGACGGACUGAAUAGCCAAACCUUGGAGGUUAAAAAUUCAUCAUCUCCCUUGCCUAAUGACAUGUUUCAGCACAGUAGUAGGUUAGGAAGUGAAGCUUUUCAGCCUGGAUCUACUCCAAAGAAUGCUUUAUCAGAAGCUAGUUGCAUUCAAUCAAGCUCAGUUCAUGCCACCCAUGUGCCAUUGGGGGAGGAGACUGAAGAAGAUAAAAUCUGUGAUAGGAGGAACGCUGAACAAGAAGAAGAAGAAAGGAAGCAACCUUUUCCAAUGAAGCAGAUAUUGCUUAUGGAGACCAGUUGGUACUCUAGUCCUGAAGAGGUUGCUUGUUCACCAAGCACUUGUGCUUCAGACAUCUACAGAUUAGGAGUUCUUCUAUUUGAGUUGUUCUGCCCAUUCAGCUCAAGAGAAGACAAGAGCAGAACUAUGUCUAGUCUGAGGCAUCGGAUUCUUCCUCCUCAAUUGUUACUGAAGUGGCCAAAAGAAGCUUCAUUUUGCCUAUGGUUAUUGCACCCAGAGCCUAGUAGUCGGCCAAAAAUGGGGUGAAUAUGCAUUUCCACAUACACUAUUUGCAAUUUUUUUUUUCUCUUUUUACAUUUUAGCAGUAGCAUGUGUUCUUGUUUGUGUGCAUUUGUACUUACAGUUUCAAUUAAAUGUUUAAAUGGAUAUAGCAUAAUUCAAAUUAGUAGUUAUCUCAUAGAUGAUUGUGCAAGAAACUGCCAUGCCUUUCAAUUGAAGAUGGGAACCACAUGCAUUAAUAGAGCUUAUUUUAGGACUUCAAAUGUAACUACUCUUGUCUUUAUGUAACCAUCUACAAAUAUAAGAUUUUAAUGUGACUUCAUUGUGCAUGGCACUGCAAUGACCCUAGUCUUUUCUUGCCUCGUGCAAAUUAUAAUUUUCAACAUCAACAAGUAAAGCCAUGUUAAUCCUUUUAAAUCACAUGCAAUCAUUUCUAUUUCAGAUUUAAGUCAAUUUUGUGCCCUUCCAGAUGUGAUCUUUAAUUUUCUGCUUCCAUUCAUUUAUCUUCAUCAUGUAAAGAAGCUUGCUUCUGAGACACAAAAGCAUUAUUGUUAAUUUGUAUUUAAAUUAUAUGAAAUCAAGGUUUAAUGGUCUUAACUCUUUUCAUAUCUUGUGUGACAGUGAGUUGUUACUGAGUGAGUUUCUUAAUGAACCAAGAGAGAAUUUAGAAGAACGUGAAGCAGCAAUACAACUUAGAGAGAGAAUAGAGGAGCAGGAGUUGUUGCUGGAAUUCCUUCUGUUGAUACAACAAAGAAAACAGGAAGCUGCUGAUAAGUUACAAGAUACUGUUUCUCUCCUGUGUUCCGAUAUUGAAGAAGUUAUGGCGCACCGAACAUUUCUUAAGAAAAAGGGCGGCUCAGGCCUAGAAAGACCAAAGGAUGAUAAUUUUGCAUCAAAUCUCCCUCAAUUGAGUCUUGUUGAUAAUGAUGAGUCUUCUAGCUUGGGUAAUAGAAAACGAUUCCGACCAGGCAUUCAGAUUCUUGAUGUAGAGGAAUGUGAUGAUAAUCUAGACGAUGGUCAGAACUCAGAUAUGCUCACAGAAACUCAAGAAAGUCUACUCUUCAAAAGUUCACGAUUGAUGAAGAACUUUAAGAAAGUAGAGUCGGCAUAUUUUUUGACAAGAUGCAGGCCAGCAAGGCCAUCAGGGAAACUUUGCACUAGACAUUCACCAAUGAGUAGUGAUGGGAGAGGUUCUAUUGUUGUUACUGAAAGGAGCUCCAUUAAUAACUUAGCACCAAAAGAGCUGCACGUUGAGAGUAGAAGAAGUGGAUGGAUAAGUCCAUUUCUCGAGGGUUUUUGCAAGUAUUUAUCUUUCAGUAAGUUAAAAGUUAAGGCUGAUUUGAAACAAGGCGAUUUGUUAAACUCUUCGAACCUAGUGUGCUCCCUUAGUUUUGAUCGUGAUGGACAACUUUUUGCUACAGCGGGUGUUAAUAAGAAGAUAAAAGUAUUUGAAUGUGAUACGAUUAUAAAUGAAAAUCGUGAUAUCCACUAUCCUGUUGUCGAGAUGGCUAGCAGGUCAAAACUAAGUAGCGUAUGCUGGAACAGUUACAUUAAAAGCCAGAUUGCUUCUAGUAACUUUGAAGGUGUGGUGCAGGUGUGGGAUGUCACACGAAGUCAAGUACUAACAGAAAUGAGAGAACAUGAGAGGCGUGUAUGGUCCAUUGACAUUUCAUCAGCAGAUCCGACAAUGUUGGCUAGUGGGAGUGAUGAUUGUUCUGUUAAGCUAUGGAAUAUCGAUCAGGCAAUUCUAUUUUUGCACUUGGUGGAUGUCAGCUUUGAAACUAAACGUACUAAUGUCUUUUAGUUUGUUAUUGUUUAUUUUUAAACCAGAUGUAUGAUAAGUUGUUCCUCUUACAUGGGUUGCUACUGCAGGGAGUAAGUAUUGGUACAAUCAGAACAAAGGCCAAUGUCUGCUCUGUUCAAUUUCCCUUGGAUUCUAGCCGGUCUCUUGCAUUUGGUUCAGCAGAUCAUAGAAUUUAUUACUAUGAUCUUCGUAACUCAAAAGUUCCUUUAUGCACAUUGGUUGGACAUAAUAAAACUGUGAGCUAUGUGAGGUUUGUAGAUCCGACAAAUCUUGUUUCUGCAUCCACAGAUAGCACAUUAAAGCUCUGGGAUUUGUCAAUGUGCACAUCUCGUGUUAUUGAUACACCCCUUCAAUCGUUCAUGGGCCACAUGAACGUUAAGAACUUUGUGGGUUUGUCAGUAUCAGAUGGUUACAUUGCAACUGGCUCAGAAACAAAUGAGGUUUUCAUCUACCAUAAAGCUUUCCCCAUGCCAGCAUUGUCAUUCAAGUUCAACAACAGCGAUCUGCUUUCAGGUCAAGAAAUUGAUGAUCCUGCACAGUUUAUUUCUUCUGUCUGCUGGCGAGCCCAGUCCUCUACCUUAGUUGCUGCAAAUUCUACUGGGAAUAUCAAAAUUUUGGAGAUGGUUUAAUUUGGUCUAUGCUCUUCAACCCACAAAUGAAAUUUUAUCAAAAGAAACAAGACAGUGAUGGUGUUUGGGCAGAAACAGUUGAAAUCAGGAUAACAAUCUUUGCACCAUAGGAAAUUGUGAAACUAAAGGAUAUGGGAACUCGAGGGUUGCAAUUAAAAUUACAACUUUUGGGAUUAGAUCAUAGAGGAUGCAAUUAAAGCAAUGAGAUAAUGCUCAGGAUCCAAUGCACUGUAGAUAAAAUUCAGGGGAAGAAAAGGAAAAAAAGGAGCCUAAAUUUAUUUUUCCCCUUGUAUAUUUUUGCAAUGCUUAUAGUUAAAUCAUUUUUUCACAAGGGGCAGCGAUCUUUACCUCUUUCUUGACGUGUUCACUGGCUUAUCUCCUGCUUUAAAGAUGCGUUCUUCAUUCACUUGUUGUUGCUGUUGGAGCCUAUAUGGAAAUCCUACUCUUUAGAUUUUCACUUAUAAGUUCAAGUUGGAGCUUUUGAGUUAAAUAGUUAAUUGAUAUCAUUGUUUUAUUAAUUAAAUUUGUUCAUGUGUCUAAUGAGCAUAUAUGAUAUUAAAAAUCUAUUAUUCUAACUCUCACUGAUAAGCUAAAAGCUUAAAACUUUUGCAGUGGGAGGAGGGGAAGUAAGGUC